rnacentral:rRNA from 1 species
GACGAACGCUGGCGGCGUGCUUAACACAUGCAAGUCGAACGGAAAGGCCCUUCGGGGUUCUCGAGUGGCGAACGGGUGAGUAACACGUGGGUGAGCUUCCCUGCACUUUGGGAUAAGCCUGGGAAACUGGGUCUAAUACCGAAUAGGACCACGCGCUUCAUGGUGUGUGGUGGAAAGCUUUGGCGGUGUGGGAUGGGCCCGCGGCCUAUCAGCUUGUUGGUGGGGUAAUGGCCUACCAAGGCGACGACGGGUAGCCGGCCUGAGAGGGUGACCGGCCACACUGGGACUGAGAUACGGCCCAGACUCCUACGGGAGGCAGCAGUGGGGAAUAUUGCACAAUGGGCGCAAGCCUGAUGCAGCGACGCCGCGUGAGGGAUGACGGCCUUCGGGUUGUAAACCUCUUUCACCAGGGACGAAGCGUAAGUGACGGUAACUGGAGAAGAAGCACCGGCCAACUACGUG